rnacentral:rRNA from 1 species
CAGCAGCCACGGGAAUACGGAGGGAGCUAGCGUUGUUCGGAAUUACUGGGCGUAAAGCGCACGUAGGCGGCUUUGUAAGUUAGAGGUGAAAGCCUGGAGCUCAACUCCAGAAUUGCCUUUAAGACUGCAUCGCUUGAAUCCAGGAGAGGUGAGUGGAAUUCCGAGUGUAGAGGUGAAAUUCGUAGAUAUUCGGAAGAACACCAGUGGCGAAGGCGACUGACUGGACAAGUAUUGACGCUGAGGUGCGAAAGCGUGGGGAGCAAACAGGAUUAGAUACCCCGGUAGUCCCUGUCUCUUAUAA